CAAUGCAAUGCAAUCUAUUUAGACAUUAUCUUACAGACAUUAUUAAGGUAUUAAGGCAAUCCAAGAAUGUUUGUGUAAUAGCACCGCAACCUGAUGUGCCAUAUUAGAUAAGGUCGAUAAGGCUGCCCAUCAAGUUCAACCCCUAUAUACAGCAUACUGAGGGGGAGGUCUUUAGUCCCAUACUUCCUCUCACUAAACACUCAAUUCUCCUAAAACAUUGUGUUGUGAAACUGACUUCCUAAUAUUUCACUGCUUUCAUCCACUAUUUAAUACUCAGUGACAUCAAAGUUUAGCCUAUUUAUAAGUAAGGCAGUAUACAGUAUUCUUGGCACACCUAAGAAAACAGUAAUGUUAAAGAAAACACUUUCAGAGAAAGGUAUGUGUAGUAUAGACUUAAAAGGUUAGGUUUUUAGUGCAAUGUGUUGUUUAACUUGGAAUUUAAAUGCUUCCUGGCUUCUAGAGCUUAUUUACACUGGUAACCAAGUAGCAGUGCUGCUUUUGCUACAAGACAAGAAUGAGAAAGAUCAAAUCAUCGUAGUGGUUUCUUUGCGUUGCCCAAGUGAGGGUGAGAAAAGAAAAGGAGUAACAAAGAGAUGCAACACUCACUCAACCCUCUCUGGCUGAAAGAGGGCUGCCAGUGCCAAAAGACAACAACGCCAAACACAGAACCCACUUAAUAAUCAUUUGCAUUUAAAAGGGGAAACAUUUCUGCAUGUUCAAAAUGAUGAAAGCAGCACACAGCUAUUUGCCAUCAAAAUGUUCCAUUUCCCAUGGUGGUACAGGAAUAAAAUCUAUAAUCUAUAUAUUAUUAGAUGAUGCCAUCUAAAAAAACCCUUUUAGGUUUUUAACCUUUUUUGGAUUUUCUUGCAUAGCAUAGUGUUUUUAAUUACAGAGGGAAGUCUCUGUACUUGGAGAUUAUUACCAUAGUGCACUAUGAAUCAAUCAUCACUGGCCUUCUUCUUCUGGUUUUCUUUUUUCUGCUGUGAAUGUGGGACCCUGAGCAUUAAUUACUACUUUAUUCAUAAUUUAUUUCUGCCACCGUUCUAUAUUAGUCUUCAUCCAGAAUCUAGCAAGUAACUUAUAUUUUGUGUAUCACCUCAGUGAUGAGUCUAUUGGUGCCCAUUAAUACUCUGCCUCCAUUGUCCUGCCCCUGCCCCUGUGCUAAUAAACAGAUGUAUUUACAUUUUUAUUUUAAUUCUCACACAUGCACAACUGAAAUAAGAUCUACGCUAGUCAGAAAUAUGGCACGCAAACACAAUUCUUUUUUAUGCUUAUAACUGGUAAGAUCACCCAGUUAUUGGCACCUAAUUUUUUUGGUAAAUACUGUGGGGCCUAUUCACUAAAGGCCGAAAAAAACAAGUGUUAUUUAUAGCAUGCGUUAAAAAUAUUGACACUUGUCUGAGUUAAGAAGCGAUUUUGUUAUCGUUAAACGAGUGUUAUUUAUAGCAUGCCUUAAAAAUAUUGACACUUGUCUGAGUUAAGAAGCGAUUUUGUUGUUGUUAUUUAUUAUUUGGUAUUUGAUAUUUUUAAGCAAUAUUUUAAGGCAUGUGAUAUAUUUAUGCGUUAUUUCAUAGCACACGAUAUUAUCAUGUCAGACACUUCAUUACUCAUUUAGUUAGCAUGCCAUUUACUUAUAGAAGACAAAUAAUUUAAAGAAUGGCAUUUGAGAU